GAGGCUCAUGGUUUGGGAUGAGGUUUGGACCAGUCUCCCAGGCUGAGCCCGGCCCAGGGGUGACACGGAUCUUGGCAUCAACGCUCCACAUACAGAGUGACUGCUCCGUCCUGGGGAACAGAACCAAGGUCCAUAAGGAGUGUCACAUUCGGCUUAAUCCCGAGCCCCACUCAGCUUCCUCUGGGUGAAAUGGUCUCAGGAAGGACAGCAGCGUCUGGGGAGGGGCCAGCGGGCGUGUGACCCGGGAGCCUCGACCUCGAAAAGGAACUUCUUUUUGUACCUUUCUCUCCAUUGACACAUAAGAUUUGUCCACACCCGCGGGGUAUCCUGUAGGAGGUGCAUCUCAUGAGGUGAUUCUGUUCACGGGGGUGGAACUUUCAAAUCAGGGGGGGAACAACUCUCUUCUCAAACGUGCCUCAUUUCUUUCUUUGUGGUGAAAACAUUCAAAAUCCUUGUGGCAUUUUGCCAUCCACAGUGCCCUCCCGUUAUCACUAGUGACCCUCUAAAGCAAGAGCACACGGGAAUUUCUUGCUCCUGUGACUUGGCAUCAGUUGCUGGAACCUCUCUCUGUCCCUCCUUCCCCGGCCCUUCCAGCCUCUUCAGCCAGCUUCUGUCCCCAGCUUCCAUGGGGUCCGCUUUUACAGAUUCCGUGAGAGAGGUCACGUGGUCCUUGUGUUUCUGUGUCUGGCUAAUUUUACUUAACACAAUGGCCUUCAGCUUCAUCCAUGUUGUCACAAGUGACAGGGUUUUGUCCUUUUUAUGACUGAAUAGUGUUCCACUGGACUUGAACACGUUGUCCACCACUCUUCUGUUGAUGGGCACUUACGUUGACUCCACAGUUGGCUGAGUAGAACGGCAAGGAACCCGGAGGGCAGCUGGCCCCCUGGAUGCUGCUUUCCCCUCCUUUAGAUAUAUACCAUAUGGGGGUUUUAUUUUCCAUUUUUAAAGGAAGCUCCAUACUCUUCUACAGUGGCUAUCGUAAUUUCAUUCUCCCCAGCCAGAGGCCAGGGCUCCCUUUCUCCACAUCCCCACCACACUGUCACCUCUUUCUAACAGAUCUACCUGGAGGAGGUGGCAUCUCAUGGCGGUUUUGGUUUGCACUUCCCUGAUGAGUUGAGCCUUUUUCAUAUGACUGUUGGCCAUCUGCAUGUUCUUGCUUGAGAAAUGCCUGCUGAGGUCUACUGCCUUCAUUUUGCAUGUGUGUGUUGUGGAUUGAACCCAGGGCCUCAGACACGCUAAGCCCUUGCUCUACCGCAGAGCUACACACCAGCCUAUUGCCCAUUUUUCAAUCGGAUCAUAAUUAUUGCUAUUAAGUGUCUUAUGUAUUCUAGAUAUUGAGCCCUGGUGGCAUGUGUUGGUUUGUUCCCCCAGUCCCAGUUACUUGGGAGGAAGGAGAUCACUUGGGCCCAGGAGUUAAGACCAUGGUGAAACCCCAUCUCAAAACUAACCAAACCAACCCCUCCACAUUGUCUCUUCACCCUGUAGUUUCCUUUGCUGUGCAGAAGCUUUUCAGUUUAAUCCAUUUGUCUACUUUUGCUUUUGCUUCCUUACUUUGGGGGUCUCACCACACGCUCCUGCCCCGUUCCAGCAUCCUACAGGACCCCCCUGUGUCCUCCUGGGAGGGAAGCCGUUUUCCUAAACUGGGGAUGACAAUCUGCUAGGCCGGUGGCUACUCGCUUUCUCAGGGACCUCUAUUGACACGUAGGCCUUCCAAAUGAUGUUCAAUAAUGGAUCCCGGAUAGUGUCCUUGACAGAAAUGUCUAUAUACCAAAUGCAAAGCACAGAACCGCCCAAAGGAACUCUUAAGUCCUCCGAGAUGAGGGAAACCUGCCUGGGAAUCCCUAGGACGGAGGUGUUAAAACCAGAGAAUGGAAAGGCAAGCAAAUUAUAGGCGAUCUAGCAGCCGGAAGUCUGGGGGCCGGGGGCCGGGGAUGAUGGUGUCACUUUCCAUUUAUCCACCGUCUCUCAGUGGAGCAUCUCAAAGCUCAGCACAGGCAGCUCUUUAAUCCUCCCACAGGAGGAUGCUGACUUGAAGGGUUCCCUGGGGAGCAAGACAUAAACCCUUGGAUCAAAACCCAGACCUGUCUCCUCUCUGCUUCCUGACAACCUUGGUUGCGGAGCCGCCUGCCCAGGCAAAUGCAGAGGAGAACCCAGAUAUGGGCCUUAGGAAUAUUGAGACUCGGGCAGGGGCUGUAGCUCUGUGGUGGAGCGCUUGCC
rnacentral:lncRNA from 1 species